UAAUCUGCCCUUCAGUGGGGAAUAACACGCCGAAAGGCGUGCUAAUGCCGCAUGUCACAAUCAAGUUUCCGAACUAGAUUGGAAAAGGGACGCCCGCAAGGGGUUCUCGCUGGAGGAUGAGUCCGCGGCCCAUCAGCUUGUUGGCGGGGUAAUGGCCCACCAAGGCGAAGACGGGUAGCUGGUCUGAGAGGGCGCACGGACACACUGGAACUGAAACACGGUCCAG
rnacentral:rRNA from 1 species